ACAUAGGUCGGAUGCACGGCUUUGCCGGCAUCCUGCACCACGGUGUAGCGCAGCACCUUGGUGGCCCCGGUUUCGGGGUCGACCUCGAUAUCGCAG
rnacentral:sRNA from 1 species